rnacentral:tRNA from 1 species
AGUGUUGUGGCUUAGUGGUGGAGCACUUGCCUCACAUGUGCAAGGUGCUGGGUUCGAUCCUCAGCACUA